rnacentral:rRNA from 1 species
GUGGCGAACGGGUGAGUAACACGUAGGUGAUCUGCCCUUGGGUGGGGAAUAGCCCAUGGAAACAUGGGGUAAUACCGCAUGAGGUCUUGAUCUUUUGGGGUCUUGAUGAAAGGAGCAAUUGCUCCGCCUGGGGAUGAGCCUGCGGUCCAUUAGCUAGUUGGUGGGGUAAGAGCCUACCAAGGCGACGAUGGGUAGCCGGCCUGAGAGGGUGAACGGCCACACUGGAACUGAGACACGGUCCAGACUCCUACGGGAGGCAGCAGCUAAGAAUCUUCGGCAAUGGCCUAACGGCUGACCGAGCGACGCCGCGUGGACGAAGAAGGCCGCAAGGUUGUAAAGUCCUUUUCUUGACGAAGAAUAAGGCAGAGAGUGGAAUGCUCUGCUGAUGACGUUAGUCGAGGAAGAAGCCCCGGCCAAUUACGUGCCAGCAGCCGCGGUAACACGUAUGGGGCGAGCGUUGUUCGGAAUUACUGGGCGUAAAGGGCGUGUAGGCGGUUCAGCAAGCCUGGUGUGAAAGUCUCCGGCCCAACCGGGGGAUUGCACUGGGAACUGCUGGGCUUGAGUUCUGGAGGGGGAGCUGGAAUUCCUGGUGUAGGGGUGAAAUCUGUAGAGAUCAGGAAGAACACCGGUGGCGAAGGCGGGCUCCUGGCCAGAUACUGACGCUGAGGCGCGAAAGCGUGGGGAGCGAACAGGAUUAGAUACCCUGGUAGUCCACGCUGUAAACGAUGUGCACUAGGUGUUGGGGCGAUUGAAGCCUCGGUGCCGUAGCUAACGUGGUAAGUGCACCGCCUGGGGAGUAUGCUCGCAAGGGUGAAA